CCUACGGGGGGCUGCAGUGGGGAAUAUUGGACAAUGGGGGCAACCCUGAUCCAGCCAUGCCGCGUGUGUGAAGAAGGCCCUCGGGUUGUAAAGCACUUUCAGUGAGGAAGAACGCCUGGUGGUUAAUACCCAUCAGGAAAGACAUCACUCACAGAAGAAGCACCGGCUAACUCCGUGCCAGCAGCCGCGGUAAUACGGAGGGUGCGAGCGUUAAUCGGAAUUACUGGGCGUAAAGCGCGCGUAGGUGGCUUGAUAAGCCGGUUGUGAAAGCCCCGGGCUCAACCUGGGAACGGCAUCCGGAACUGUCAAGCUGGAGUGCAGGAGAGGAAGGUAGAAUUCCCGGUGUAGCGGUGAAAUGCGUAGAGAUCGGGAGGAAUACCAGUGGCGAAGGCGGCCUUCUGGACUGACACUGACACUGAGGUGCGAAAGCGUGGGUAGCAAACAGGAUUAGAUACCCCUGUAGUC
rnacentral:rRNA from 1 species